AAGUCGUAACAAGGUUUCCGUAGGUGAACCUGCGGAAGGAUCAUUAUUGAGAGGGGUCCUUUGGGCCCAACCUCCAACCCCCUUGUCUACAAACCUCUGUUGCCUCGGCGGGACGUCGCCCCCAUAAAUAGGGGCGCCGUCGGCCCUUGGGCUCUCGCGCGCCCGCCGAUGGACUUCAAAACACCAGCGAAACGAGAAAUCUGAGUGAGAAUUUAAUGCUUCAAACAAAACUUUCAACAACGGAUCUCUUGGUUCUGGCAUCGAUGAAGAACGCAGCGAAAUGCGAUAAGUAAUGUGAAUUGCAGAAUUCAGUGAAUCAUCGAAUCUUUGAACGCACAUUGCGCUCCCUGGUAUUCCGGGGAGCAUGCCUGUUCGAGCGUCAUUAUCAACCAUCAAGCACUGCUUGGCAUUGGGCUUCGCCCCUACGGGGCCGGCCCUAAUUUCUUCGGCGGCGGUGCAGGACCACAAGCGCAGUGAAACACCCAGCUUUCUUGGUUCGGCAUCGCCAUGCCCCCACUAUCACCUCAAGGUUGACCUCGGAUCAGGUAGGGAUACCCGCUGAACUUAA
rnacentral:rRNA from 1 species